rnacentral:rRNA from 1 species
AACCCUUAUCGUUAGUUGCCAGCGGGUAAAUGCCGGGGAACUCUAGCGAAACUGCCGGUGUAAACCGAGAGGAAGGUGGGGAUGACGUCAAAUCAGCACGGCCCUUAUGUCCAGGGCUACACACGUGUUACAAUGGCCGGUACAGAGGGCAGCUACCUGGAGACAGGAUGCGAAUCUCGAAAGCCGGUCUCAGUUCGGAUCGGAGUCUGCAACUCGACUCCGUGAAGCUGGAUUCGCUAGUAAUCGCGCAUCAGCCAUGGCGCGGUGAAUACGUUCCCGGGCCUU